rnacentral:rRNA from 1 species
UACGUAGGGUGCAAGCGUUAAUCGGAAUUACUGGGCGUAAAGCGUGCGCAGGCGGUUAUGCAAGACAGAUGGGAAAUCCCCGGGCUUAACCUGGGAACUGCAUUUGUGACUGCAUAGCUAGAGUACGGUAGAGGGGGAUGGAAUUCCGCGUGUAGCAGUGAAAUGCGUAGAUAUGCGGAGGAACACCGAUGGCGAAGGCAGUCCCCUGGACCUGUACUGACGCUCAUGCACGAAAGCGUGGGGAGCAAACAGG